rnacentral:sRNA from 1 species
UGAAGGUGAGUUUGGCGUCCACCGUGA